UAAGUAGUGCUACUGACGAGACUGAUCGCAAAUCGU
rnacentral:sRNA from 1 species